rnacentral:rRNA from 1 species
UACGGAGGUGGCAAGCGUUAUUCGGAUUUACUGGGCGUAAAGCGCACGCAGGCGGCAUGGUAAGUCAAAGGUGAAAGCCCUCGGCUCAACCGAGGAACUGCCUUUGAAACUGCUUUGCUUGAGUCCGGGAGGGGGGAGCGGAAUUCCCAGUGUAGCGGUGAAAUGCGUAGAUACUGGGAGGAACACCGGUGGCGAAGGCGGCCCCCUGGACCGGUACUGACGCUGAGGUGCGAAAGCGUGGGUAGCAAACAGG